CUCUUCCUCUAGUCAGCAAUAUUAAAGCACACAAACAGAGAAGUAAAAGCAAAAAAAAAAGAAUGGCAAUGAAAGAGCAGCAGGUUGUAGUUCUUGUCAGUGCCAGACACACUUAACUCCAUUCCAUUUCUCUCAAGCAAGCUGUCCAAGACAGACCAACAUUAUUGAACACAUAAGCAAAGCAUUUGGAACAAAGAGAGAGAGAAACCUUAAAUACCCUCUGAAAGCAGCCUGAAGAAAAGGCUAGAUCAAUGCCACCCAGAAAAGCAACCGACUGAUCUAUGACUACCAUCUUUUCAUGAUGCGCCCAGAGGAAGACAAUGGAGGAUACAUGAUCAGGAUGACGCAUCACCUGCCAAGAAGAAAUCCAGGAGUUAUGAGAGGAAAGCAUGCUAUAGAAGUCAAACCUACCAGCUGAAUGUUGAUAUAUAAUCUACAUAGAUGUUCAUCAAAAUAAAUAAAUAAAAAAAAAAAAAACCGAAAGAACUUCAUUUCAAAAAAAGUUGGUAUGGGGUGUAAACUGCAAAUAAAAACAGAAUGUGAAGAUUUGCAAAUCAUUGAAACUGAGAAAUUUUAUUGUUUUAUGAAAAAUAUGUGCUCUUUUUGAAUUUGUCAGUAACAUGAAUGGGUAUAAAAAAUAAGUAUCACAGAGAGGCAGAGUCUCUGAGGUGUAAAGAUGGGGAGGUUUUCACCACUCUGUGAAAUACUGCAUUGGCAAGUACUGCAACAAUUUUAGAAUAAUGGUCCUCAAAAUAAAAUUGCAAAAAAUUUCAUCAUCUACGGUACAUAAUAUCAUUAAAAGAUUCAGAGUAUCCACAUAAAUAUAUGUACAUGUGAGACAAAGCAAAAAACCAGUAUUGGUUGGAUCUGAUCUUCUGGCCCACCAAACGACACUGCAUUAAAAGCAGACAAAAUUCUGUGGAGAAAAUCAGUGUAUGGGCUCAGGAACACUUCUGAAAACCACAGUCUGUGAAUGCAACCCAUCUCUGCAUCCACAAAUGCAAGUUAAAACUCUACCAUGUAAAGAAGAAACUAAGCCCAAGCUCAUUUAUGAUGGAUUGAGACAAAGUGGAAAACAGUCCUGUGGUCUGAUAAAUUAAAAUUUGAAAUUCUUUUUGGAAAUCAUGGCCAGCAUAUCUCCUAAGUUAAAGAGGAGACGAACCAUCUGGUAUGUUAUCAGCACACAGUUCUUAAGCCAAUGUCUGUGAUGGUAUAGGAGUACAUUAAUGCACAUGGUAUGGGUAGCUUGCACAUCUGUGAAGGCAACAUUAAUUCUGAAUUAUACAUAUGGGUUUUGGAGCAACAUAUGCUGAUAUCCAGAAAAUGUCUUUUUCAUGGAAGGCCUUGCUUAUUUCAGCAAGACAAAUCCCAAACUCCAUUCUGCACAUAUUACAACAGUAUGGUUCUGUUGUAAAAGAGUCUGGGUACCAAACUGGCCUGCCUGUAGUCCAGACCUGUCACCCAUUGGAAACAUUUAGCACAUUAUGAAACAAAAAUAUGACAAACAAGACUCCAAACUGUUGGACAACAUUUUACUUCCAAAACAACCGCAAUAGGUCCCCUCAGUUCCCAAACAUUUAGAGACUGUUGUUAAAAGAAAAUGUGAUGCAACACAGUGGUAAAUGUGCCCUGUCCCAACUUUUGUGAAACGUGUUGCUGGCAUCAGAAUCAAAAUAAACAAAAAAAUUUCUGUUUCAACAUCUGAUAUGUUGUCUUUGUACAAUUUUCAGUUAAACAAGAUUUACAUUAAUUACAAAUCACCAUAUUCUGUUCUAAUUUACAUUUUACACAGUGUCCCAACUUUUUUGGAAAUGGGGUUGUAUAAGCCACACUGGUCUGGAUAAGCUGUUGGCUUCUGUUCAGUUUAAUUACUUUCUGCUUUGUUUUCUGUGUGUUUUAACAAAUCCAUAUAUUUAUAUGUCAUAAUUCUGUAUAAUCUAUACUUGUUUUAUACCUGAGAAUUUGUUCACUGUGUUCCGUCCCUGCACUUAUUGAAGAGUAUUAUACAAAAAUAA